rnacentral:rRNA from 1 species
UAGAGUUUGAUCAUGGCUCAGGAUGAACGCUAGCGACAGGCUUAACACAUGCAAGUCGAGGGGCAGCGGGGGUGAUGGCUUGCCAUCACCUGCCGGCGACCGGCGCACGGGUGAGUAACACGUAUGCAACCUGCCCGCCACAGGGGGAUAAGCGGAAGAAAUUCCGUCUAAUACCGCGUGACGCGGCGUCGGGGCAUCCCGGUGCCGCCAAAGGGAUUACCGGUGGCGGAUGGGCAUGCGGCGCAUUAGCUAGUCGGCGGGGUAACGGCCCACCGAGGCGACGAUGCGUAGGGGUUCUGAGAGGAAGGUCCCCCACACUGGUACUGAGACACGGACCAGACUCCUACGGGAGGCAGCAGUGAGGAAUAUUGGUCAAUGGGCGGGAGCCUGAACCAGCCAAGUCGCGUGAGGGAUGACGGUCCUACGGAUUGUAAACCUCUUUUGCCGGGGAGCAAGCGUGCGUUCGUGAACGCGCGUCGAGAGUACCCGGAGAAAAAGCAUCGGCUAACUCCGUGCCAGCAGCCGCGGUAAUACGGAGGAUGCGAGCGUUAUCCGGAUUUAUUGGGUUUAAAGGGUGCGUAGGCGGGAUGCCAAGUCAGCGGUAAAAAAGCGGUGCUCAACGCCGUCGAGCCGUUGAAACUGGCGUUCUUGAGUGGGCGAGAAGUAUGCGGAAUGCGUGGUGUAACGGUGAAAUGCAUAGAUAUCACGCAGAACUCCGAUUGCGAAGGCAGCAUACCGGCGCCCUACUGACGCUGAGGCACGAAAGCGUGGGUAUCGAACAGGAUUAGAUACCCUGGUAGUCCACGCAGUAAACGAUGAAUGCUAACUGUCCGGUGCGAGUGAGCGCUGGGCGGUACAGCGAAAGCGUUAAGCAUUCCACC